rnacentral:lncRNA from 1 species
AGAAAAAAAAGCCUUCCGCCUCUUCUUAACCAGGAUUCCUCUUCUUCUGCUUUCUGAUAACAUUACCUCACUUUCCUCCAUGUCCUCACCUGCAUCCUUACCAAAGACUAUGAGGCGUCUUUCUUGAGGUUUUCAUUUACACGCCUCAAAGCCCACUGCUUGGUUCCAAAGCCAUUCCCAUGUUUUUCAUUUUUGUUACAGCAGUACGCCACUUCCAGGGACUAAAGUCUGUAUUAGUAAUCUGUUGCUAUGUAACAAAUUAUUCCAAAGUAUUAGUAGUCUGUUGCUACGUAACAAAUUACCCUGGUACUUAGGAGUGUAAAACAAGCCUUUAUUAUUUUACAAAAUUUCUGAGAGACAGGAAUCGGGGAGUAGCUUAGGAAGGUGGUUCUGGCUUUGGGUCUCACCAUGAUGCAGUCUAGCUGUCAGCUGGGGUUGCUGUCAUUUCAAGGCUUGGCUGGGCUGGAGAAUCUGCUUCCAAACUCACUCAGGUGAUUGCUGCAGACCUCAGUUCACACAGGAGCAUGAAUACAAGGAGGCAGGGAUCAUGGAACAGGCUGUCUUGGAGGCUGGG